ACCUUCGGGUUAGUGGCGGACGGGUGAGUAACGCGUGGGAAUCUGCCCUCAGGAGGGGGAUAACGGCUGGAAACGGCCGCUAAUACCCCAUAUGCCGAGAGGUGAAAUGAAUUUCGCCUGAGGAUGAGCCCGCGUCUGAUUAGCUAGUUGGUGAGGUAAGAGCUCACCAAGGCAUCGAUCAGUAGCUGGUCUGAGAGGAUGAUCAGCCACACUGGGACUGAGACACGGCCCAGACUCCUACGGGAGGCAGCAGUGGGGAAUUUUCCGCAAUGGGCGAAAGCCUGACGGAGCAACGCCGCGUGAGGGAUGAAGGCCUCUGGGCUGUAAACCUCUUUUCUCAAGGAAGAAGAUCUGACGGUACUUGAGGAAUAAGCCACGGCUAAUUCCGUGCCAGCAGCCGCGGUAAUACGGGAGUGGCAAGCGUUAUCCGGAAUUAUUGGGCGUAAAGCGUCCGCAGGCGGCCCUUCAAGUCUGCUGUUAAAACGUGGAGCUUAACUCCAUCAUGGCAGUGGAAACUGUUGGGCUUGAGUGUGGUAGGGGCAGAGGGAAUUCCCGGUGUAGCGGUGAAAUGCGUAGAUAUCGGGAAGAACACCAGUGGCGAAGGCGCUCUGCUGGGCCAUAACUGACGCUCAUGGACGAAAGCCAGGGGAGCGAAAGGGAUUAGAUACCCCUGUAGUCCUGGCCGUAAACGAUGAACACUAGGUGUCGGGGGAAUCGACCCCCUCGGUGUCGUAGCCAACGCGUUAAGUGUUCCGCCUGGGGAGUACGCACGCAAGUGUGAAACUCAAAGGAAUUGACGGGGGCCCGCACAAGCGGUGGAGUAUGUGGUUUAAUUCGAUGCAACGCGAAGAACCUUACCAGGGUUUGACAUCCUGCGAACCUCUUGGAAACGAGAGGGUGCCUUCGGGAACGCAGUGACAGGUGGUGCAUGGCUGUCGUCAGCUCGUGU
rnacentral:rRNA from 1 species